GGGGGACCUUCGGGCCUCUUGCCAUCGGAUGUGCCCAGAUGGGAUUAGCUAGUAGGUGGGGUAACGGCUCACCUAGGCGACGAUCCCUAGCUGGUCUGAGAGGAUGACCAGCCACACUGGAACUGAGACACGGUCCAGACUCCUACGGGAGGCAGCAGUGGGGAAUAUUGCACAAUGGGCGCAAGCCUGAUGCAGCCAUGCCGCGUGUAUGAAGAAGGCCUUCGGGUUGUAAAGUACUUUCAGCGGGGAGGAAGGGAGUAAAGUUAAUACCUUUGCUCAUUGACGUUACCCGCAGAAGAAGCACCGGCUAACUCCGCCCAGCAGCCGCCGUAAUCCGGAGGGUGCACAGCUCUUAAUAGGAAGUACUGGGCGUAAAGCGCACGCAGCGGGUUG
rnacentral:rRNA from 1 species